rnacentral:rRNA from 1 species
GAAAUGCGGAGCCGAAGCGAAAGCGAGUCUUAAUAGGGCGACAAGUUGGAUUGCAUAGACCCGAAACCACAGUGAUCUACCCAUGUCCAGGCUGAAGCACAGGUAAAAAUGUGUGGAGGGCCGAACCUAUAUCCGUUGAAAAGGGUUAGGAUGAGGUGUGGGUAGGGGUGAAAUUCCAAUCGAACGUGGAGAUAGCUGGUUCUCCCCGAAAUAGCUUUAGGGCUAGCCUCGAGGUAGAGAUUGCAGGCGGUAGAGCACUGAUCAGGAGAGGGGCCUACCCGGCUACCAAACCCAGUCAAACUACGAAUGGCUGCAAUUAUACUCGGGAGUCAGACUACGACUUAUAAGGGCCGUGGUCAAAAGGGAAACAGCCCAGAUCAUCAGCUAAGGUCCCAAAUGCCGUGCUAAGUGGCGAAGGAUGUGGCGUUUCAUAAACAACCAGGAUGUUGGCUCAGAAGCAGCCACCAUUUAAAGAGUGCGUAAUAGCUCACUGGUCGAGAGACGCUGCGCCGAAAAUGUCCGGGGCUCAAGCACGGAACCGAAGCUAUGGCAUGAUAGCAAUAUCAUGGGUAGGGGAGCGUUCUUAACAGGAAGAAGCAUGACCGGAAGGACAUGUGGACCGUUAAGAAGUGAGAAUGCCGGUAUGAGUAUCGAAAAGAAAGGUGAGAAUCCUUUCCACCGAAAGCCCGAGGGUUCCUGAGCAACGAUCGUCGUCUCAGGGUAAGUCGGGACCUAAGCCGAGGCGGAGACGCAUAGGCGAUGGACAACAGGUUGAAAUUCCUGUACCGGAUACAAUCGUUUGAGCGAUGGAGCGACGCAGAAAGGCAUAUGAUCGCGCGACUGGAAGAGCGCGUCCAAGUGCGUAUGUUGAAUCGGAGGCAAAUCCCUGAUUCUGAAAGCAGAGACACGAUGGGGAGUUAUACGAAAGUAUGACGAACUCAUAGAUCCUACACUGCCAAGAAAAACUUCUAGUGAGAAAGUAUCCGCCCGUACCGUAAACCGACACAGGUAGGCGGGGAGAGAAUCCUAAGGUGCGCGGGAAAACCCUCGUUAAGGAACUCGGCAAAUUGCAUCCGUAACUUAGGGAGAAGGAUGACCUUAAGUAAGCGAAAGGGAGAAACCCCUGGAACAGAACAAGGUGGCAGAAAAGAGGCCCAAGCAACUGUUUACCAAAAACACAGGUGCCUGCGAAAGCGAAAGCUGAAGUAUAGGUGCUGACGCCUGCCCGGUGCUGGAAGGUUAAGGAGAGAUGUCAGAGCAAUCGAAGCAUUGAACUGAAGCCCCAGUGAACGGCGGCCGUAACUAUAACGGUCCUAAGGUAGCGAAAUUCCUUGUCGGGUAAGUUCCGACCCGCAUGAAAGGCGUAAUGAUUUGGGCACUGUCUCAACGAGGGGCCCGGUGAAAUUGAAAUACCUGUGAAGAUGCAGGUUACCCGCGACUGGACAGAAAGACCCCAUGGAGCUUCACUGCAGCUUGAGAUUGAAUCUCGGUGAUGCAUGCACAGGAUAGGUGGGAGACUUUGAAGUAUGGGCUUUGGCUUAUACCGAGUCGAUGUUGGGAUACCACCCUUGUAUUGCUGAGAUUCUAACACGGAGGCUAACAACCUCGUGGACCAUCUCAGGUAGGCGGUUUGACUGGGGCGGUCGCCUCCGAAAGAGUAACGGAGGCG